rnacentral:rRNA from 1 species
GACGAACGCUGGCGGCGUGCCUAAUACAUGCAAGUCGAGCGGACUGAUUAAGAGCUUGCUCUUAUGACGUUAGCGGCGGACGGGUGAGUAACACGUGGGCAACCUGCCCUGUGGAUCGGGAUAACACCGAGAAAUCGGUGCUAAUACCGGGUAAUAUCUGAGAUCACAUGAUCUUAGGUUAAAAGAUGGCUCCGGCUAUCACUACAGGAUGGGCCCGCGGCGCAUUAGCUAGUUGGUAAGGUAAUGGCUUACCAAGGCGACGAUGCGUAGCCGACCUGAGAGGGUGAUCGGCCACACUGGGACUGAGACACGGCCCAGACUCCUACGGGAGGCAGCAGUAGGGAAUCUUCCGCAAUGGACGAAAGUCUGACGGAGCAACGCCGCGUGAGUGAUGAAGGGUUUCGGCUCGUAAAGCUCUGUUGUUAGGGAAGAAACAGUACCGAACGAACUAGGUCGGUACCUUGACGGUACCUAACCAGAAAGCCACGGCUAACUACGUG